rnacentral:rRNA from 1 species
UACGGAGGGUGCGAGCGUUGUUCGGAAUCAUUGGGCGUAAAGGGCGUGUAGGUGGUCUGUUAAGUCAUGUGUGAAAGCCCUCAGCUCAACUGGGGAAGUGCGCAUGAAACUGACAGGCUAGAGUACCGAAGAGGAAGGUGGAAUUCCCGGUGUAGCGGUGAAAUGCGUAGAUAUCAGGAGGAACACCGGUGGCGAAGGCGGUUCUCUGGGCAUGUCCUGACGCUGAGGAGCGAAAGUGUGGGGAGCGAACAGG